AUGAGGGACCGGCUGGCCCCCGCCGUCUUCCCGCUGUACCCGGCCUGCGGGACGGCCGACGAGCCCGUGGCCGUGGGCUGCCUGGCCGUGGGCUUCAGCCCCAGCAGCCUCGACUUCUCCUGGAGGACGGCGGCCGGCGGCAACUACAGCCAGGGCGCCUGGAGCAGCCCCGCGACGCUCAGCGACGACGGCACCUACACGGCCCUGGCCGCCGUCACGCUGCCCGGCGCCCAGCUGGCCGCCCGCGCGCCCCUCACCUGCCUGGCCAGGCACCCCGAGGAGGACGCCCGGCUCACCGUCACCUGGCCCCUGCCCGAGCCCCAGCUGAACGUCUACCCGCCGAGCUGGGACGACUUCGAGGAGCCGCAGCGCAACGCCAGCGUGCUCUGCCAGCUCACCGGGCUGCUCAGCCGCGUCGCGGCCCUGCGGUGGCUCAAGGACGGCGUCUCCCAGGCCUCCGGCUUCAGCACCGCGGGGCCGGUGGCCGACGGCCGCGGCGGCUACGUGCUCAGCAGCUUCCUGGCCGUGACCCGGAGCGAGUGGAAGGCCGGCACCGUCUACUCCUGCGCCGCCGAGAGCGCCGGCUUCUCCGACCUCAGGAACGUCACCAGCUGCGGCGAUCUCCCUGACAUCGAGGUGGAGGUGAUCGCGCCCAGCUUCGCCGACACCUUCCUCACCAAGGCGGCGGCGCUGACCUGCCGCGUCUCCAACCUGCCCAGCACCGAGGGGCUGCGGGUGCGGUGGGAGCGGGCGGACGGCGCGGCGCUGGAGACGGCGCUGGGGCCCCGCGCGCCCCAGAGCAACGGGCUCUACAGCGUGGACGGCACCGCCAGCGUCUGCGCCGACGAGUGGGAGAAGGGCUACGGCUACGUCUGCACCGUGAUGCACCCCGACCUCCUCGAGCCGGCCCAGGCCCGCCUGCAGUGCCAGGACGGCGCCGGGACGCCGCCGUCCAUCUACGUGCUGCCGCCGGCCCCGGAGCAGCUGGCGCUGCAGGAGACGGCGACGGUGACCUGCCUGGUGAAGGGCUUCGACCCGCCCGACCUCUUCGUCCGCUGGCUGCGCAACGGGGAGCCGGUGGCGGCCGGCGACUACGUGACGCUGCCGCCGGCGGCCGAGGGGCAGCCGCCGCGCUCCUACUUCACCUACAGCGCCCUGAGCGUCGGCGGCGAGGACUGGGCCGCCGGCAACGUCUACACCUGCCUGGUGGGGCACGAGAAGCUGCCGCUGCAGGUGGCCCAGAAGUCGGUGGACAAGUCCUCGGCGCUCCUGGAGGCCCUGGAGGCCGGCGGCGAGCGGGAGCCCGACGACGCCGGGGCCUGGACGGCCGCCCUCACCUUCAUCCUCCUCUUCCUCCUCAGCCUGGGCUACGGGGCGGCCGCCACGGCGCUGCGCCUGGCCCCGCCCCGCCCCCGGGCCCCGCCCCCCUGCCGCUGA